CAGUAGCCACGGGAAUACGGAGGGUGCAAGCGUUAUCCGGAUUUACUGGGCGUAAAGCGUGCGUAGGCGGCUAAUUGAGUCGGAUGUGAAAUCCCCGAGCUUAACUUGGGAAUUGCAUUCGAUACUGGUUAGCUAGAGUGUGGGAGAGGAUGGUAGAAUUCCAGGUGUAGCGGUGAAAUGCGUAGAGAUCUGGAGGAAUACCGAUGGCGAAGGCAGCCAUCUGGCCUAACACUGACGCUGAGGUACGAAAGCAUGGGGAGCAAACAGGAUUAGAUACCCCCGUAGUCCCUGUCUCUUAUAC
rnacentral:rRNA from 1 species